CAGCUAAAGACACACCCACUAAAAUCGGAGAGAUGAAAAUCGGAGAUGCACAGGAGACCAGAUUGGAAGAGCAAUGAGAUCUCAGAGGGCUCGAAGGCUGGAAGAGGUUAAAGAGAUAAGAAGAGGACACAUGACAAUAAAACACUCUUGACUCUUGGACUGCUCCAGUAACGAGGCCUCAGAUCCACGUAGGUACAAAAUGUAACCUGAGGGUACAGCGCAGGAGCUUGAUCACCUCGACACAGUGGGCCCAAACGCCACCAUCUACGCGAGUCAAAAUCGUCCCGUCAACGGAGGGCUCAAGGCCCCCGA